CCUACGGGAGGCAGCAGUGGGGAAUUUUGGACAAUGGGCGCAAGCCUGAUCCAGCCAUGCCGCGUGCAGGAUGAAGGCCUUCGGGUUGUAAACUGCUUUUGUACGGAACGAAAAGACUCUGGUUAAUACCUGGGGUCCAUGACGGUACCGUAAGAAUAAGCACCGGCUAACUACGUGCCAGCAGCCGCGGUAAUACGUAGGGUGCGAGCGUUAAUCGGAAUUACUGGGCGUAAAGCGUGCGCAGGCGGUUAUAUAAGACAGAUGCGAAAUCCCCGGGCUCAACCUGGGAACUGCAUUUGUGACUGUAUAGCUAGAGUACGGCAGAGGGGGAUGGAAUUCCGCGUGUAGCAGUGAAAUGCGUAGAUAUGCGGAGGAACACCGAUGGCGAAGGCAAUCCCCUGGGCCUGUACUGACGCUCAUGCACGAAAGCGUGGGGAGCAAACAGGAUUAGAUACCCUGGUAGUCCACGCCCUAAACGAUGUCAACCGGUUGUUGGGUCUUCACUGACUCAGUAACGAAGCUAACGCGUGAAGUUGACCGCCUGGGGAGUACGGCCGCAAGGUUGAAACUCAAAGUGUAAGUGCGNGAGAGAGCGACGACGACGACGAGGAGGGAGGAG
rnacentral:rRNA from 1 species